rnacentral:rRNA from 1 species
GAUGAACGCUGGCGGCGUGCCUAAUACAUGCAAGUCGAGCGAACAGACGAGGAGCUUGCUCCUCUGACGUUAGCGGCGGACGGGUGAGUAACACGUGGAUAACCUACCUAUAAGACUGGGAUAACUUCGGGAAACCGGAGCUAAUACCGGAUAACAUGUUGAACCGCAUGGUUCAACAGUGAAAGACGGUCUUGCUGUCACUUAUAGAUGGAUCCGCGCCGCAUUAGCUAGUUGGUAAGGUAACGGCUUACCAAGGCAACGAUGCGUAGCCGACCUGAGAGGGUGAUCGGCCACACUGGAACUGAGGCCAGGUCCCGACUCCUACGGGAGGCAGCAGUAGGGAAUCUUCCGCAAUGGGCGAAAGCCUGACGGAGCAAAGCCGCGUGAGUGAAGAAGGUCUUCGGAUCGUAAAACUCUGUUAUUAGGGAAGAACAAAUGUGUAAGUAACUAUGCACGUCUUGACGGUACCUAAUCAGAAAGCCACGGCUAACUACGUG